UAGGGAAUAUUGGACAAUGGGGGCAACCCUGAUCCAGCCAUGCCGCGUGAGUGAAGAAGACCCUCGGGUUGUAAAGCUCUUUUGUCCGGAAAGAAAAGCAUUCGGUGAAUACCCGGAUGUUCUGACGGUACCGGAAGAAUAAGCACCGGCUAACUUCGUGCCAGCAGCCGCGGUAAUACGAAGGGUGCAAGCGUUACUCGGAAUUACUGGGCGUAAAGCGUGCGUAGGUGGUUGUUUAAGUCUGAUGUGAAAGCCCUGGGCUCAACCUGGGAAUGGCAUUGGAAACUGGGCAGCUAGAGUGCGGUAGAGGGUAGUGGAAUUCCCGGUGUAGCAGUGAAAUGCGUAGAGAUCGGGAGGAACAUCUGUGGCGAAGGCGACUGCCUGGACCAGCACUGACACUGAGGCACGAAAGCGUGGGGAGCAAACA
rnacentral:rRNA from 1 species